rnacentral:lncRNA from 1 species
GAAUAAUUGCAGGCAGAUCACUAAUCAUAUAUAGAAAAAAAGAGCAGAACUCACACAUUUGAAGAAGGUGCUCUCUGGAAGUACAGCAUUCCUGCUCAAGAAGCAGCGUAGGCCCAAAAAAUCCAUUCCCUUCGGCAGCUGAGCCUUAUGUGAACCCAGGGCAGCCCCACUCAGGGCAGCUCCUUCCGGUCACACAGUGAGCACAGGUGCAAACAAUGUACCUGCACUGCAGUUCCCGCCCAGACCUAGCAGCUCCCCUACAUGUGAACUGAGCUUUCACACAGGAGCUGAAGAAAGGUGACUGUGUUUUCAGCUGUGAUGAAGGCUCAGAUGGUGUGUAUGAGUAUCCUUGACGUCUGUCUGGCUGUCAUCUCCAGGAUAAGUCAAAAUAUACAGCUACGCUGCAUGUUGGCGUAUGGAAUGUUUCACUACUCACACAGCAGAAGGGACAGGGAGCUCAUCUGAAAAGCUUCAUCAGUACUUGUGGCUGCUUUUUCUAUCCCUUUGGGAAAGCCUGAGCAGUGAAGGUUACAACUUAUGCUGCAUGGGAGCAAGAAGAAGCAAGUGCGAGGCGUCACUUACAGAUACAUCUCUCCAGGUAGCAGAAAGAAGGGUAGUGGAGACAAACCCCUGUUCAUUCAUGUUCUGUCUUAUGAACUGCAGAGGAUUAGUCCGAGUCAUGCCUGUGGGUGCAUUGUAAACAUGUUCCUUUGUGACUAACGUGUUUGCACUGAAGUUAAAUAACUCAUUUCUACUGUGCUGCAGCAAAAAUUAUUAAAGUAAGUAAUAAGUGAGAUACUUCUGUUUGUGUGGCUGGGCUCAGACUCAGCCCUAAUUGGAAGAUUUGUGCUUCAAAUACAAAUGCUUAGGAGAAAUUAUGAUAUUUUCCCUUAACCAAAUGUACAAAAGAAAGCAAGGUUGACUACAUUAGUCUGUAAUCAUCACAUUGAAAAAUCACCUCAGUCUUCUUUGAGAAGGGAAGCAGGGGAAAAUAAAGACUUCAGAAAAGUGGAAAGAAAGUACA